rnacentral:rRNA from 1 species
UACGUAGGGUGCAAGCGUUAAUCGGAAUUACUGGGCGUAAAGCGUGCGCAGGCGGUUCGCUAAGACAGAUGUGAAAUCCCCGGGCUUAACCUGGGAACUGCAUUUGUGACUGGCGGGCUUGAGUAUGGCAGAGGGGGGUAGAAUUCCACGUGUAGCAGUGAAAUGCGUAGAGAUGUGGAGGAAUACCGAUGGCGAAGGCAGCACCCUGGGCCAAUACUGACGCUCAUGCACGAAAGCGUGGGGAGCAAACGGG